rnacentral:rRNA from 1 species
UACAGAGGUCCCAAGCGUUGUUCGGAUUCAUUGGGCGUAAAGGGUGCGUAGGCGGCGGGGUAAGUCAGGUGUGAAAUCCCGGAGCUCAACUCCGGAACUGCACUUGAUACUACCUUGCUAGAGUACUGGAGAGGAGACUGGAAUUUACGGUGUAGCAGUGAAAUGCGUAGAUAUCGUAAGGAAGACCAGUGGCGAAGGCGAGUCUCUGGACAGUUACUGACGCUGAGGCACGAAGGCCAGGGGAGCAAACGGG